UGAGAUUUUCUUUGUUGUGAGUUCUUUAAAAAAUGUCACAAAGUCUGGAAAAAAAUUCAGACAAGGGAGUUGGAUUCCAUCCUGUAAGAAUUGUUGGAGGAAGUGUGCCAGAUUUUACACUCCAAGGCUUUACGCAUGAAAUGGAGCAUCUAUUUGAUCAAAAACUCAAACCCAUCAAGAAACGAUUGGAUCGUGUCGAAGAGCGGAGUCAUCGAGCAAGAAC
rnacentral:lncRNA from 1 species